GACGAACGCUGGCGGCGUGCUUAACACAUGCAAGUCGAACGAAGAGCGAUGGAAGCUUGCUUCUAUCCAUCUUAGUGGCGAACGUGUGAGUAACGCGUAAUCAACCUGCACUUCAGAGGGGGACAACAGUGGGAAACGACUUCUAAUACCGCAUACGAUCUAACCUCGGCAUUGAGGAUAGAUAAAAGGUGGUGUCUACAUGUAAGCUAUCACUGGAGGCGGAGUUUGCGUCUGAUUAGCUAGCUGGGUGGGGAACGGGCGAACAAUGCCAUGCUGAGUAGGCGGUCUGGAAGGAUGGAUGGCCAAAUCGGGACUGAGACACGGGUCAGGCCCCUAAGGGGGGGAGCAGGUGGGGAUCUUUCGGCAUGGAGGAAAGUCUGACGGGGGCACGCCGGGUGAGUGAUGACGGGCUUUGGGUUGUAAAGAUCUGUUAAUCGGGACGAAAGGCCUUUUUGCGAAUAGUGAGAAGGAUUGACGGUACCGGAAUAGAAAGCCACGGCUAACUACGUG
rnacentral:rRNA from 1 species